GAGCCAUUUAUGGUGGCAGCACUUGUGGGAUAGAGUCAGGAAGAUCAAGGGUUUUGAGGCCAGUCUGAUCUACAAAGAGAGAAAUUUCAAAGCCAGAGACUCCAUUUUACAAGUGGCUUUCUUCUCAUUUUGAGGGGAGAGGUUGCCAACAACCACUCAAGUGGGCCUAGAACUGCACCAUCUGCCACGCAAAAGCGAUGGACACCAGCACCACAAUGGCAUGAUCCUGAGACAGCCUGUCACCGGACGACAACUGGGGUGUGUGACAAGGACUCCCUGACUCAGCACAGUCCCCCACGGUUGAACAGUCUACUGACCUAUCUGCUGGACCACCUGUCCAUCUGUCUGGACCUGGAUCUGACCUGCCAUUUCCUGCUCUGGCUCAGUUCCGUUAACCUUUCACCUCAAAGCCGGACUCUGAAGCUUCACUCUCAAACUGGAUUUUAGCAGCUUCAGCAGCAGUUCCUCUCAGCGCUGGUCUGGUUCAUUAUCUAAUCAAUACCAACUCCUUCUCAACCUUCUUCUGAAACCUCUUGACCUCAGAGGCAGCCUCUUUUUACAUAUAUGUAUACAGCUCUGUAGGUAUAUUUGCUGUAUGUUAAGAAUGUUAAUAUUAGUGACUAGAAUAAAAGAACUUACAUUUGCCUUGCCUAGACUACUAAGGUAGAUUUUAUGACAAACUGUUGUCAUUGAAACUUCUAAACCUUGUAAAUUUACUGUUAUUCAGUCAAUUCUGACUGUGCAAAGACACAAAAAGUGCUCAUCUAUGUUUUUGGCUUAUUGCAUUCAUGUCAACAGGAAGAAAACUAUUGGUUUGGCAAAAUUUAGAGGAACUAAAGAGGGUCCAGUCAGGACAGUCUCUAGAGGUAAGAAUAAAAAGUAACCUAAAAUUUAGGACAGAGUAGUGGCAACCAUCUCUAAGGAGGCUGAGGCAAGAGAAUCAAAAAUUUAUAUAUAUAAUUAAUAUAAAAAGAGAUCAUAAAUUUGAAAGAGAGUAGGGGAGGGGUAUAUGGGAAGAUUUAGAGGGAGGAAAUGGGAGAAAUGUAAUAAAAUUACAAUUUCAAAAACUAAAAAAUUUGCAUGUACUAAAUUAUAUUUUUAUGUUAUGCAUACAUUAUUAUGAAUAUGUAUUAAGAUUUUUCUCCCUUUGCUAAAAGGAGAAGCUGACAUAAUUGGUUUUCAGACAUUGAAUAAGCCUUACAUGCAAAUAAUAAAUCUCACUGGACAUAGUGUAUUUUAAGAAAAGAAAAAAAGAACUCAGAGACAGCUGGAGCUAAUACCAAGACUGUCUCAAAAAGCCAAAAAAGAAUUUUAUAAAAAAAUAAAUUCAUUUAUUGAUUUUAUGUGUAUGGAUGUAUGUGUAUGCCUUGUGACUUUGGAGAUCAGAAGAGGGCAUCAGAUCCUCUGAAACUAGAGUUACGGAUGGUUGUGAACCACCAUGUUGGUGUUAGGAAUUGAAUGUGGGACAAUAAGCACUCUAAACUCCAUUGUAACCCUCCUCCCAAAUAAAGAAUCUUGCUGGGCGGUGGUGGCACAAGUCUUUAAUCCCAGCACUCAGCAGGCAGAGGCAGGUGGAUUUCUGUGAGUUCAAGGCCAGCCUGGUAUACAGAGCGAGGUCCAGGACAGCCAGGGCUUAUGGAGAAACUCUGUUUCUAAGUUAAAAAAAAAAAAAAAAAAAAGCAGAAUCUCAAGGGAGGCUGGGGUUGUAGCUUAGUUUGGUACAGUGUUUGCCUUACAUGCACAAUGCCCUGGUUCAAUCCCCAGUACAUCAUAAAACCUGGUAUGGUAGAUGUUGUGGAAUAGUACUUUAACUAUGUAAAGGUGUGUUGCCUUUGUUUAUGCUGCAUUUGAUUAACAGUGUAAAGAUGUGUUGCUUUUGGCUGGGCAGUGGUGGUGCACACCUUUCAGGAGACAGAGUUAGGCACAUCUCUGGGAGUUCGAGGCCAGCCUGGUCUACAGAGUGAGUUCCAGGACAGGCUCCAAAGCUACACACAGAAACCCUGUCUCAACAAAACAAAACAUGUGUUGCUUUGCCUACCUAAGACAUCUGAUUGGUCUAAUAGAAAGCUGAAUGGCCAAUAGCUAGGCAGUAGAGGGAUAGUGGGGUUGGUGGGCAGAGAGAAU
ensembl:lncRNA